rnacentral:rRNA from 1 species
GACGAACGCUGGCGGCGUGCUUAACACAUGCAAGUCGAGCGGUAAGGCCCUUCGGGGUACACGAGCGGCGAACGGGUGAGUAACACGUGGGUGACCUGCCCUUAGCUCUGGGAUAAGCCUGGGAAACUGGGUCUAAUACCGGAUAUGACCUCAUGACGCAUGUUGUGGGGUGGAAAGCCUUGUGCGGCUAGGGAUGGGCCCGCGGCCUAUCAGCUUGUUGGUGGGGUGAUGGCCACCAAGGCGACGACGGGUAGCCGGCCUGAGAGGGCGACCGGCCACACUGGGACUGAGACACGGCCCAGACUCCUACGGGAGGCAGCAGGUGGGGAAUCUUGCGCAAUGGGCGAAAGCCUGACGCAGCGACGCCGCGUGAGGGA